rnacentral:rRNA from 2 species
CAGCCGCCGCGGUAACACCAGCCCCUCGAGUGGUGGGGAUGAUUAUUUGGCCUAAAGCGUCCGUAGCCGGCCGAGCAAGUCUUCCGUUAAAUCCAGCGUCUCAAGCGUUGGACCGCGGGAGAUACUACACGGCUAGAGAGUGGGAGAGGUCAGCGGUAUUCUGGGGGUAGGGGCGAAAUCCUUUGAUCCCCGGAGGACCACCAGUGGCGAAGGCUGCUGACUAGAACACGUCUGACGGUGAGGGACGAAAGCUGGGGUAGCGAAUCGGAUUAGAUACCCGAGUAGUCCCAGCCGUAAACGAUGCAGGCUAGGUGUUGGGUCGGCCAUGUGCUGGCCCAGUGCCACAGGGAAGCCAUUAAGCCUGCCGCCUGGGGAGUACGGCCGCAAGGCUGAAACUUAAAGGAAUUGGCGGGGGAGCAC